CGGAUGUGGCCUAACGGUAUGGCAUCAGCUUCCCAAGCUGAGGGCUGCGGGUUCGAGCCCCGUCAUCCG
rnacentral:tRNA from 1 species